ACCCCGCCACCUGGAUCGGGAUAGCACCACCGCACCUCUGCCUCCUCCCUUUGCCCUGACCACCUCCGACGCCGCGCUCCACCCCCGACCACCUCUGCCUCCUCCCUUUGCCCUGACCACCUCCGACGCCGCGCUCCACCCCCGACCACCUCCGGAACAACAGCCCCGACCUCUCCCCCCACCCCUGCAACCCCACCCGCCGCCGCCCCCUGCAACUCAGACCACCGCCGCCCCCGGUAACCCCUCGUGACGCCGCCCCCAUCAACCUCGCCCGCCGCCACCUCGGCAACCCCUCAUGCCGCCGCCCCCUAUACCUGAAGCCAGAUGCGGCUGCGGCCAUCGUCAGGCAGGGAGACGGCAACUGCCACUCCGGCCUUCUCCCACGCAGCGGCUGCAGCACAUAGCUGCCCCCUUCAUGAAAUUGACAUGCAUCCCUGCCUCCUCCCUGGAUCCUUGCUGCAGCUUUCGGCCACCUUCAAGUUCUGACGGCCGUUCGAGCUCGCCGGCGUGGAGUACAUGAGUCACCGAGCAUUGAAUUUUUGUUGUUGUUUGAAAACUGAUUAUGAUGCUGGCAUGCCUCUUCAUUUUUCCCUGCUCAAUACAUUCCUGACGCCCUGGCCGCUGCUUCCCCUAGGGCCUCUGUGUCGCUGCCAAGACGUAUCUGUGCGCCACCGUGACUCGCCCCACUGCGCACCAAGCUCUUCUUCAUCACUACCCCCUCCAUCUUCAGUUUGGUUCUGUAUCUGCAGCUCAACUUCCUUCUAAAACUUGUUUGUUCCUUCUGGAACUUGUUUAGACCGUAUCUUACAGCAUGCUGCACUUCCUAACGUUCAUGUGACUGCUACUAGAACACUACUCUAGUUUUGUUCGCAUCUUCUUAGCAUAAUAAUUAGUAUGGUAGUUCAAGUUCUCUGGAAUUUGUUUCUUCUAUUUUUAGUAUAGAUUCUUCCUUGUGUGUAGUUCAAGUUCUUUGGGAUUUUUGUUUUGAAGACAUGGGAGAAUAAUCCUGAGUGGAAAGGUCAUAUGAAUUUGGGGCAUUUAUCUGAGUGGGGAGCACAAAAAAACUUCUGGCUGACCCAGGGUCGUGGAUGCUGAAAACAUUUACAGACUUGGGUGACGGAAAAAGGUGGCUCCUCCUAUGAAUUAUUGAUUCCACACUUUUGUUUGUACUUACCAAAAAUGCAUAUGCAGUACGAUGCUCUGCAGAAUUUUCAUCAAUUAUGCUGCCUAUAUUGAAAAAUGGUUAAAUAAAAGAUUUGUGACUACAUUCAGGGAGUUUUCUCUCCCUUGUUUCUCAUUUCUUUGCGUCUUCAUACCUGGUUAGAUAAUUUUCGAGACAGACUGUUGUAUGAAGCUUAUGAUCUCAGUAUACACUGCAUCCUUUAAAAUACUUGAACUUGAUAAUUCAUUGGCUUACUAAUCGAUCGAGGAGAUACUUUUAUACCAAACAUACUGCUACAUGAAUCUUAUUAUCUAGGUAUGAAUAAGUUUAAAUCAUGUGCUAAAAAAGAAUGUGCAUGAAGCUCCAAUGCACCCAGAUAAGUUUAGAUGUAUAUAUAACAUUGCAUGUAUUUCCUACAGUUGGUAUAGUUUCCUUGGUUUCUUUGAUUGGUCCGGUACAGUUUCCAUCAUUGGAUGAAUAUACCCGUUUGGAGUUGGUACAGUUUCGAACAAGAUCCACUCUUGUUCUCCUUUUUUUGUCUAUAUUCUCAGCUGUAGCAGAGAUUCCAAAUAAAAAACAUGGCCUUUAUAUAUUCAUGCAUAUUCAGACUCACUCAUCUCACUCGUUCCAUUCAUUCGUUAGGAGGGGACAUGCUUGUCUGUUUGAAUCUACAGUGCAGCAGAAAGUCGCAGCUCCUCUUUGAAACCAACUCAAGAACAUCGAUCUGAAAGCAUACGAUGCUUUAUGCUACUACCACCGACCGAUGCCCACUGCACAACGCGCUGAUGAACCCCUACACGUAUUUUGCCAUCUCAAAAAAUAUAUGCAUAGGAUGCUCUGUUUGUCUUGUACUACUAUGCUAAAAAUUUGCUUUAACUUUUUUUGUGAAGGUCAAAAUAUUGUGUUCGAGAAGGUCAAGUGUGUUAAGUGUAUCUCAGCAAGUUCAAAUAAUUUAAAUAUGCAAAAUGUUGUGUUCUAGAAGGUCAAGUGUGUUAUGUGCAUCACCUUGCCCCCAUUGAAUCUUCUGCAUUUCUUGUGUAUUCUUCAGAAGUUCAAGUCAUCGUAAGUUUCCUCGAUUGAGCUACUCUUAUGAAAAAGUUCAACACAGAGGCAGGUCUAUGUGUGCAGACCAGGGAGGAUGACGAACCAUGCCUGGUGCCGCUACCCUCGUGAAUGGAGGAAGAAGGUCACCACAGAGGCAGGGAGAAGGUCACAUAAGGUGCACGAAGAUUGUUAGAGUUCAGGAACAAGGGGUGUGUGAUCUUUGUGCUGUUUUUGGGGUGCAAAUUAACAUGGGUAUGCAAUCUCACGUCCUUUGUAUUCUUUGAGAUGGCCUCCCUUAGCCUCAAAACCAUAUUGCAUAUAAAUAUGAUAGUCCCAAUGCUAUGGUCACGUGUAAAGAAAAUUAGAUAUGCGACUACCGAUUUUUUCUUCAGGUGGUCUUCAUCAUCGUUCUAUAAUUCAGAUGUUCCUUGGUUGAAUGUA